UCAUAGAAAUCACAAGUGAGCAGAAAGCAAU
rnacentral:piRNA from 1 species